AUUAGCACUGAUUUUCUUAAUAGCCAUAAAAAAAUUAUUUUCUUAAUUUACACCUCUUUAUACUAUCAUUUUCUUUUUCUUUUUCUUUUUUUUUUUUACGUUAGACUCCCAUUGGUGAAAAAUAUAUUAAUUUUUAUUAUUCCUAAUUAUCUCACAUCUAUAUAAAUUAGAGAGGCCAUUGGAAUCUUUCAAAACCACGUUGCUAUCAUAAGCCAGAAUAAAAAAACUUAGCUCUCUUUUGUAUCUGUCGGCACUCUCAUUAUAUUAUUAGAGACAACAACUCAUUUAUUUUUUCAUGUUGUCAUCAUUGCCAUACAUCUCAAUUGCUACUCUACUGCUUCGUUUAUUUUAUUUAGAAUGAAAAUAUGAAAAAAUUAGAAUUCAAACUUGGAACCUCGGAUAUCAACCACUAAGUCAUUUGCCACUUGCGCAAGGAACGGUCGGUAAAAUAAACUUGUUAUUAACAUAGGGGUCUAAUUAAG
rnacentral:lncRNA from 1 species